rnacentral:rRNA from 1 species
AUGGAUACACACCCAUCUAUUGUAUGCUAGAACGUGCGUGGGUUGAACAAUCCGGCGAAAAGGAAGGCGGUCAAGGAGUUUCUAGAUUCCACUAAAGCUAGCCUAGUUUGUCUUCAAGAAACCAAGAUGGAUGUAAUAGACUCCUUUGUUGUAAUGCAAUGCAUGGGGCCGUCGUUUGACGGAUUUGCAUACUUGCCAGCGUUGGGGACUCGUGGUGGCAUCCUUUUAGCCUGGAACUCGUUGGUGUGCAAAACCUGCAAAUGGACUUGA